UGCUUGGGGGGUCCAAAAGCUCAAAGCACUUUCUCUUCUUAUCUCAUCUCUGCAGGUCUACCCUUGCCCAUGGAAGCAGAUGGAAUGGAGAGGAAUUUCACCCUGGCCUCCUUCACACUAGCCCCGUGACUCAAGCCCUCGCCUUGCUUCUCCAGGGACGACGGCCUGGCUGAGCCGCACUGAGCAGGUGCUCUUUCCCAGCACAGACGCCCUGCUGUGUCCUGACGGUCCCGCGUUGCCCUCAAUCUGAAGGUGUGGAUAAUUAAGGUAAUGAACACUUUUCCACUAGCUGC
rnacentral:lncRNA from 1 species